GCUCUUCAGAUCUGAGCCAGUUAGUCCUGAGUAAACAGCAUGGCAGAUGUAGCAAGAAAGACCAUGGCUAAACAAGGUGGAAGGAGAGAUCCAACUCACAAAUUCAGAGAACAUCUGACUCCUACAUGUCUACUUUCAGGAGAUGGUAUGUGCUCAGUAACAGACGCAGCACAUCAGCCUUUCUGCAGGAGGUAGAAGAGCAGCGGCUGGGCUGAACGAUGACAGCAGGACAACCAUUUAGACUCUGACACACAGCAGGACAACCAUUUAGACUCUGAAACGGGAGAGGGACUCCGCAACAACAGACAAUUAACCAGCAGUCCCCAAAACAACCCCAACUAAAGGAUUUCCUUUGGAGACUUAGGCCUUGCAUCUCAAAAGUGAAUUCUUCACAAAUAUUCUACCAAGGAAUACUGGUAAACUGGGUCUGACUAAAAUAAAGGAGUGAAUGAGGAAUUCAAGCAAGAAUGAGGAAAUAUGGAGUCACAGUAAGAGAUGAUUUUCAAGAAUGUCCCUGGACAGCCCCCAGAUGCACCACAUCAAAUCUGCAUCUGCAGUGCCAUCUUUUUUUUUCUUUUUUUUUUUUGGUAAAACCAAAAAGUUUACGUUUGGAAAAAUAAUAAAACUUUAAAAACUUCAAGUUUGUAUGGGCAGCACAAGUUGGACUU